rnacentral:rRNA from 1 species
AGCAGCCGCGGUAAUUCCAGCUCCAAUAGCGUAUAUUAAAGUUGUUGCAGUUAAAAAGCUCGUAGUUGAAUUUCGGGGUUCUACCGUUGGUCGGGCUAUUGUCUGUACUGGCGUGUAGAAUUUCUACCUUCUGGGGAACUAUCAUGUUAUUAAUUUAGCGUGGUAGGAAACCAGGACCUUUACCUUGAAAAAAUUAGAGUGUUCAAAGCAGGCUUAUGUCUGAAUACAUUAGCAUGGAAUAAUAAAAUAGGACGGUGGUCCUGUUUUGUUGGUUUCUGAAUCACCGUAAUGAUUAAUAGGGAUAGUUGGGGGCAUUAGUAUUCAAUUGUCAGAGGUGAAAUUCUUGGAUUUAUUGAAGACUAACUACUGCGAAAGCAUUUGCCAAGGAUGUUUUCAUUAAUCAAGAACGAAAGUUAGGGGAUCGAAGACGAUCAGAUACCGUCGUAGUCU